rnacentral:rRNA from 1 species
AUUGAUGGAUAGUAUGAAUGGUUGAACGAAUAUUCCGCUGUCUUAAAAAGAAUUAAUAAAAAUUGAAAUAAUAGUUAAGAUGCUAUUUUAAACUGUAAGACGAAAAGACCCUAUAGAGCUUAACUAUAAACUUCUUAUUAACAAAAAGAAAAAUAAUUCUUAUCAUAAGAAGUUUGGUAGUUUAGUUGGGGCGACUAUCUUUUAAAAAUAACAAAGAUAAGCAAUGUUAAUAAUUAACUUAUUGUAUAACUUAAUAGUUUAACAAUUAUUAAAAUAGGCUAUAGUGACCCGUUUUUACUGAAUAAAAGGAAAAACGAUCAAUUGAUAAAAGCUACCUUAGGGAUAACAGGAUAAUUUUAUUUUAGAGUUCCUAUCGAAAAUAAAGUUUGUCACCUCUAUGUUGAAUUAAGAUAUCCUGAUAAUGCAGAAGUUAUCA